GAGUUUGAUCGUGGCUCAGAUUGAACGCUGGCGGAAUGCUUUACACAUGCAAGUCGAGCGGCAGCGCGGGGCAACCUGGCGGCGAGCGGCGAACGGGUGAGUAAUGCAUCGGAACAUGUCUUGUCGUGGGGGAUAGCCCGGCGAAAGCCGGAUUAAUACCGCAUACGCCCGAGAGGGAAAGUGGGGACCGCAAGGCCUCACGCGAUUGGGUUGGCCGAUGUCCGAUUAGCUAGUUGGCGGGGUAAGAGCCCACCAAGGCGAUGAUCGGUAGCUGGUCUGAGAGGAUGAUCAGCCACACUGGGACUGAGACACGGCCCAGACUCCUACGGAGGCAGCAGUGGGGAAUUUUGGACAAUGGGGGCAACCCUGAUCCAGCCAUUCCGCGUGAGUGAAGAAGGCC
rnacentral:rRNA from 1 species